CCAGAAUUUGGUAGCACACAACUACCUGCAGCUCCCGGCCCAGGACAUCGAUGCCCUCUGAUGGGCUCCACGGGAACCAGCAUACACCUCCUCCCCUAUAAAAGUAAAAAAAUUUAAAGAAGAAGGGAAGCAAGAGAGAUGGCCUAGCUGAUACCACUGGAUGUUCUUCAGAUUAUUCAAGGUUCAGUUCCCACCAGCCAAUAUAGUUCCCAACCAUCUAUUACUCCAGUCCCAGGGGAUCCAGUGACCCCUCUGGCCUCCACCAGCAUCAGGUGUGCAUGAGGUACACAGACAUAGAUGUAGGCAGAACACAUUUUAAAAAGUUGCCCUUUGAUCUCCCCACCCAUAGUGUACCUCCGCCUCCAGCAACAAUAAAAAACAUACAAACAAACAAAAAAA
rnacentral:lncRNA from 14 species